UAUUAAUAGAAUUGUUUUAAUURUAAUAUUUUUAUUAAUUUGAAUUAAAUAAAUUAUAGUCAUUGUAUAAUAAAUUGAUUUGAUUGAUAUUACUAUAGUGAAUUAGUAUUUUAAAGUAAAUUUUAAUUUUUUAUAUAAUUAAUAAAAGUUAAUUUUAAUAAUUGUAUCUUGUGUCUCAGAGUAAAUUAAAAUGAAUUAUUUAAUUUUUUUUUCUCGAAUUUAAAAGAGUUAAUUAAAUAUUUUAGUUAUUGUUUCAUAAUUAUUAAUAAUAUUUAAUUAGUAGUGAAAUGUUAUUCGUUUUUAAAGUUAUCUAGUUUUUUAAUAAAUGAAUUUAAUUCAAAAAUUUUAAUUUAAUUGAUAUUUAUAUAUCAAAUUAUUUUAUUAUUUAAAUUUUAAAAGGGAUAAGCUUUUUAAAAAAUAAUUAUAAUAUGUUAUUUAAUUAGAAUUUUAUAAAUUUAGAAUUUGUUAUUAUUUAAAUUAUGUUAAAAUUUAAUUCUUUAUUUUUUAAAUUUUAUAAUUAUUUAAGAUUUAUAUUAAAAUAUAAUUUUUAAUUUUUAAAAAUUAAAAAUUAUGAUUUAAUUAGUAAAUUUAAUAGUAAUUUUUAAUUUUAUUGAAAAUUUAAUAUGAUGAAUUAGGCAAAAAUUUUACUCGCCUGUUUAUUAAAAACAUGUUUUCUUGAUAAUAAUUUAUAAGAAAUUUGACCUGCCCACUGAAAUUUAAUUUAAAGGGCCGCAGUAUUUUGACUGUGCAAAGGUAGCAUAAUCAUUAGUCUUUUAAUUGAAGGCUGGUAUGAAUGGUUGGACGAGGUAUAUUCUAUUUUAUGUUAAUAAAUUUAAUUUAGGGUUUGAGUAAAAAUACUCAAAUGUUAUUAAGGGACGAGAAGACCCUAUAGAGUUUAAUAUUUUAAUUAUUAAUUAAGUUAAUUAAUAAUUAUUAAUUAUUAUGAUAUUUAUUUGAUUGGGGUGAUUAAAAGAUAUAAUAAACUCUUUUUUAUAUUAAAUAUUUUUAUUAAUUAAUUGAUCCAUUUUUUAUGAUUAUAAGAUUAAAUUACCUUAGGGAUAACAGCAUAAUUUUUUUUGAGAGUUCUAAUCAAAAGAAAAGAUUGUGACCUCGAUGUUGGAUUAAGAUAAAUUUUGGGUGCAGAUGUUCAUAAAAUUAGGUCUGUUCGACCUUUAAAAUCUUACAUGAUCUGAGUUUAAACCGGUGUGAGCCAGGUUGGUUUCUAUCUUUAAUUUUUUUAAAAUUUUUUAGUACGAAAGGACCAUAAAUUUAAAAUAAUUUUUUAUUAAUGAAUAUUAUUAAUAUUA
rnacentral:rRNA from 1 species